rnacentral:rRNA from 1 species
UACAGAGGGGGCAAGCGUUGUUCGGAAUUAUUGGGCGUAAAGGGCGCGUAGGCGGUGCGGUAAGUCACCUGUGAAAUCUCUGGGCUCAACUCAGAGUCUGCAGGCGAAACUGCCGUGCUUGAGUGUCGGAGAGGUAAGUGGAAUUCCCGGUGUAGCGGUGAAAUGCGUAGAUAUCAGGAAGAACACCCGUGGCGAAGGCGGCUCUCUGGGACGGUACUGACGCUGAGACGCGAAAGCGUGGGGAGCGAACAGG